rnacentral:tRNA from 1 species
UCGCUGGUGGUCCAGUGGCUAAGACUCUACGCUCCCAAUGCAGGGGCCCAGGUUGGAUCCCUGGUCAAGGAA